AUGUAUUUUUAUUAACCAAAUACAAAUAUUUUUAAAAGAGCACUCCCCUCUUAAAUUCCCUCAGAUAUGAAUGUCUUUCCAUGGGUAGCUUUGAUGCAAUUACAAUAUUCAUUUAUUUGGUUUCAGUAGCAUCUGAUCUCUGAAGAGCGUGCACGUCAUUUCUUGCUUGAAGGACAAGGGAAAGUCGGUAGGUGUCCUCAGAGCAAGCUCAGAGCAGCAGAACCUGUACUUUUGAGAGUAGAGACAACAUACAUCAAAGUUCUGUCUGGGAGCUUGUUGCAGAUGAUGAGACAGCUCUUUGUUGGGGGUAUAACAGAGCUCUUCACUGAAGCCACAGCAGCAGAGCUGAGUGAACUCUGGGUGGAAGUUGAAGGACACUCUCCCUAAACAGGUGUCUGAUUACAUGAACAAGCAGUGUAACCCAGCUGCAUUAAUAACCCACACUUUGCCUCAAUGAAGGAUUCGAACUGCUGUGAGCAGGGAAAAGUAUUUGCAGCAUCCUGUUGUUUUAAGCCCCUGAGCGAUGAGGAGUGGGGUGUGAGCAGCACAGCGCUUCUCCUCCAGAAUCACCUGUCUGACUCCUUCCCCUUAGUCAAAACUUUUAUUAGUGUGUUGAUUUUACAAUCUUUGCUUCUAGAGCUGUGUAAAUUGGGCUUCUCUGAACCUGGAAACAUCUGAAUAGAUUGAGGAAUCAUUUUUGUUUUGGAUUAAGAAUUCAAACCUCCGUCCAUAGCUUCGAGGUGUGUGAAAGAGAGCAGAGCAUGUCGGAAGGUGGUUAUCCUGAUGGAUCUGCUUCCAAGUUAUUCGGAAUUAAACGAAAUUAACCAUUCCAUCAAGUAAUUACAAUAGCUCUCGUGGAACCUCUCCCAGUAUGUUCCUCAGGUCCAUUGUCUGCUGCCUUGCAGUUGCUUUUUAAUCAAGGCUCCUCUGCCUCUUCCUGGACUCCACAAUUUGGUCAAGAGCAAGUACCAACCAAUCUGCAACCGACGGCACAUAACUUGAGUGUGAUACACAGAGGGCUUCUACUGAAACAAAGAUGUAAUCUGAGAAGGCAUUUAUCAGGUGGAAAGAGGAACACUUUUGUUAGCAUGGAUUUCCCAUUCAAACUGAAUAAUGACCUUCUGUUACUGUAACAUUUCAUUAAAUGCAGGAAACUGGUUUUCCAAUUGCUUCUUGCUUUUCAUGUUCUCUUGUGAUCCUUACUGCAAAGUUUGUGUAAAUGUA